GAACGUGAUUAUGCUCUGUACGCGAAAGCACUUCUAUAUCACCGAUGUCGCCUGGUUUCCUAGAGCAGAGAGAGACCAGUUUAUAUUAUAUCAAAAUAAAUGUGAUGAAAUUGCCGAUUUAUAAAGAGAUUAAUAUUUUGCGACGCAUUAGUGCUAUUCACAAAUCAGAAGUUUAGUCUACGUAAGGAUUGGUUAAGCACUGUUUCUCAAUUUAGGUGUAAUAGGAAAACAUCAAAAUACGACUAAUGAAGACAUAUCAGCUCCAAUUUAUAAUAACAAAACUAUAAGCAAUCUAUAAGUUUAUAAUAAUUAUAAGAAAUUAAUAAUAAAAAUAUUUAUUUUAAACAUAAAUAAAAAUAGAGUACAAAUUCAUUUAACCUCAGUAUAAUUUAAUCUACUAUCUGGAUUCAAAAAAUUAAAAUUGUAAUAUUAGGUCGUUGCAUUUUGUAUCGUAUUUCUGUGUAUUAUGUAAUUUCUGUCGUAUUUUUGGAAAAAAUAUGCAGCACAAUUUUUAAAUGUUAAAAAAGUUAUAUAUAAACGGUUUUACAGGAAUUUAACAAGAAUUCCUAUCAAACGCCCAAUUGUUCGACUGCCAUAUCACUUGAUAUAAUGGCGGAUUUUCAUGCUCUAGUCUAGAAAAAGGAUUAACCGCUCGCACACGUGUUUUAAUUAUAAUUAUUUAAUGCUUUUUCUUUAUUUAAAAGAAAUCAAUAAAAAAAUAAAAAAUAAGUGAAAAAAGAAAAAAGAACAUUUCAACUUGGAACCUGACGUAGGUUUCACGUUGGGACGAUUUUUAUCGUUAAACAUCUUGGUAAUCUUAAAGACUAAAUGUUGAAAUUUAAGGUGACCUCAGUGGUAUCAAUGACCUUGAUAUAUUGUCAAGGACAUGACACUGACUUGCAGAAAGUUUUUAGCCGUCGCUCGUUGUUUAUUAAAAAGUUAUUAACAAGAUAAGUUUAUAAAAAAUCGCCCUUAAUCUUAUUAUUUACCGAGUCAAGUUACAAAUUGUGUGUUCUGUAGUAAAAUGACUUUCUCAAAUGGAGGCUCUAAAACUACCCUUUCCGUUAUGGAAGUAACAUGUCAACUCGAGAUAACUCGAAAACAGACAUUUCUAAAUGACAAAUUGGAAUAAUAAAAACAGCAAUUAUAGUUUCAUGUAUUUAUUUGACAUUUUUUUGACUUCACAUAAUAUAAUAUUUAGUAACUUUAUAUAUUUACAGAUCAUCGACUCAGUGCAUAGUCUAAACGUACUUUGCUCGGAAAUCGAUUUAUUUACAAAAAUGCGUCUGAAUUUUUAAUGGAACAAUCUUUAAGUCUGCAAAUACAAUGGAACAAUAUCUCAUCCGCUAUAUUUUUCCAUUCAAUCAAAACAGAAACGUAAUCAUCGCAAUUGCACUUUGCAGAAAAAGAUUUUUAAGUGACGGCUCUCUGCAUUUUAUUUAUAACUCCGGCCAUUUUUCCACACGUUUCGCACCGAAUAUUGAUAAAUGAGCUCUUCACAAUUUUCAGAAAUAAAGUUACAUGUAGACACCAGAAAUUUUGCAUAAUACAGCAAUCCUUCAAAAACGCUUUAACAUUCUAGAAAAGAAAUCUCCCUUCUACCCGCCGUUGUAAUAUUAUCUGUGAAACCCUGACGGCAAAAUGGGGUGUCUGGUAAUAAAGUUAAUUACUCCAAGGCUCGUAAAGGCUCGUGAGCGUGUUGAGUUGAAUAAAAAAGCUCUAUCAUCUUCCAAACAAUCACGUAAAAUUUUUAAGUAUCAAAUAAAAAGGAUUAGCAAGUGAGAAGACAUCUCAGACGACGAGGCGUAGCACUCUACGGUAGCGACCUAUUAGAAAAUAUUAAAAAAGGACGCUAGCAAUGCAUUGUUUAUCCUCCCCUCCUUUGCCGCGUAUGUUUAUUGCUAGGUAAUACGGUCAUUUGAUUGGCGUGUCGAGAGUACUCCACGUAUCACCUCAGCGCUCAUUUAUUAAUCCUUUUUACUUAAUAUCUUAUUACCUUCAUUACCAGACACCUUGUAUAUGCAUGUAAAGUAUCCCUUAAAUUCGUAAAUUCUCAGCUGGAAAUUUUAAAACUGAUUAAAUUGACUCACGUCAAGAAUUAUUUCAACUUAUUUGAUUGCUUAAUCGAAAAACUGAUUUAUGUAAAACAUGCAAUUUUAGUUUUGAAGUAUUCAAUAUCCUUUACUUUCUUUUUUUACCGUGUGUAGCAAACUAACAAUUUCGAUACUCAAAGAGAUUCCAUUAUCUCUCUAUAUAAAUAUAAAUAAACUCAGUACUUCUUUAAUAAAAAUCAACGCAUCGAUUUUUAUUAAAAGGAAAUUAAAUCCAUUAUUACUCUAUCGUACCAUAUAUUAUUUUUUGUAAAUUUGGAAAUAUAUGACAGUACCUUAAAACCCUUAAAAAACGCAAUUCAAUUAAUGUUACAUAUUUAAAUUUAAGACAGUUAUUAGAGACAAUAUUAUGGGUGAAAUGAAAAGCACUGUCUUAAUUUGUAACGCCGUACAUGUGUGUGUGUGUGUGGGUGUGUAUUUAUACAUAUUACACACGCGCGCGCGCGCACACACACACACAAAAGUAGCAUUGAAACAAAAAACAUUCCCGAUGGUAUUUGCAUUAAGAUAUCAUGGUGACACGACUCAAAGGUCCUUUACUCUUUGUUCUAAUACACUUUGUACAUUUAUGGACGCUUGUGCAAGCUUAACUCUGAUGGAUCGGUCAGAGAUAUCAAUCUAAACAAUCGUGCUUAAUAUGAUCUUCAAAAAUUAAAGAAUACGACGAAAACGAAAAUGCUAUGAAACGAGAUCUCUUUCUCUCUCUCUCUCCCUUUCCCUUUCUGUCACAUGUGACAUCAUGCAACACUUACAGUGCCAUAUUUGUAGGUUUCUUUUCUUUUUUUACUGAUUCUACAACAAACGCGACAAAUACAGUUAGCGCGAUGUUAGAGUCCCAUAAUGCCGUUCUGCAUUUUUCAGAUUUCACUCAGAGCAACUUUCGUUGCAAUGCAGACGCCUUAAAUUCUGUAAUUGUAAUUUAAUUUGUUUAACGUAUGUAUGCUAUAGUGUCAUAUUUAUGAGUCAUUUACAUGCAGUGUCUCUCUCUAACAUGCUCACUUUCCCCGUUUUCUGAGCGCAUUGAUUAAUAUAUAUUUCCAUAUAUAUUAAUAUAUUAAUCCACAUUUGCGAGAUUAUUGAACACAGGCAGACGUUACGAACAAAGCUUAAUAGUAAACUGUCCUUUACAUUAUAUCACUAUGUUGAGGCAAUUUUAUAGAUUGGAUAACAAGUGUUUAAAGGAUUGUAAUUCAUAUUAAUCUUUCAUAUCUAAAAACAAAAAGCAUAGCUAUAAUAGUAACAGCAUGCAUAUGGAUCGAUGUAGUGACCCUCUAAUAAGAGUCUGGCCAUAAGAGCGAUUGGGUCAAAAUCGUGCGAGAGAGAAAGAUGAAUUAUACUCAUCUUUCUAUAAGAUGAGUUAUACUACAAGAUGAGUUAUACUCAAAAUGAGUUAUACUCAUUGAAAUGUAGCGUGGACUAUCUGUAGCGCAUGCGUGAGCACAUGCGUAGCGAAUAUAUAUAUAUAUCUUUCUCUCUCGCACGAUUUUGACCAAAUCGCUUAUGGCCAGACUCUUAUUAGAGGGUCUCUAGAUCGAUGUAAUCAGAAAUGUAACGUUUUUGCUAUAUCUGAUAUAAAAGACUUUGAGUUGUAUAAUUUUCUCAAAGUUAUGUUAUUAUGGCAUUUUUUGAAAUUAGUGAUAUUACAUAUAAAUAAGCUUAUAAUUUUAUAUGUAUAAAUCUAAAGAAUUUUACUUAUUAUCUUUUUGCUGGAUUGUUAAACAAGUGUUUGUGUUAAGUAAAUGGAUCUCAUGUUUCUGAUAUAAGUCCUUAUAGAGUUACAUGCUUUUAUAAAAAGAAAAUAUCAUAUGCAGUAAAAUAAAAACUGUUGAUUGUAAUUAAUUAAUGACUAUAAAUUUGAAUAUAUAAAAUGCGUCGAUAUGAAUGCCAUGCAAUUAGAAAAAAAAAAAAAAAA
rnacentral:lncRNA from 1 species